UACGGGGGGUGCGAGCGUUGUCCGGAAUCACUGGGCGUAAAGGGCGCGUAGGUGGUCUGAUAAGGGUGUGGUGAAAGCCCGGGGCUCAACCCCGGGUCGGCCGUGCCGACUGUUAGACUAGAGUGCUGUAGGGGCAGGCGGAAUUCCGGGUGGUAGCAGUGAAAUGCGUAGAUAUCGUAAGGAAGACCAGUGGCGAAGGCGAGUCUCUGGACAGUUACUGACGCUGAGGCACGAAGGCCAGG
rnacentral:rRNA from 1 species